rnacentral:lncRNA from 13 species
AUUACUUCUUAACUUCCUUCGUGCUGAAUGCAGAGACAUGGAAAUGGUAUCCGUUAUCUCAUCUGACUCUGAGGAAGUAGAGAAAAUGAAUUGACAAAAAUCUCGCCUUAUCACUUUUUACAUUUUUACGUUAUGUCAUCUCUUCUUUCCUACUUUUGUUUCUGCGUUGUGAAACGAAGGAUAGACUUGCCCAGAGAUGUUAUUAUGUCUCCUGGAAUCUAUGCAAACAGGCUUCGAUUGAAACGGGAGGUGGACUGAGUCUCGUCUCUAAAUCAUGUAGAAACCAACCAAAUGGGUCUUUAUAAAUACGGACGCCUAUGAAUUAAUCAACUGGAUUGAAUGAAUUACACGCAAAAUGAAGAAUGUUGUAAUAAAUAUUUUUAUAAUUAAAAGUUUAAAAAUAAAAUAUAAAAGGGCAUGUUUUUUUUAAUUGUUUUAAAAAUUAAUUCAUAAAUGUUUGACCUGUCAAUAUCGAUUGUGUCUAGUGUAUAACAAUAUUUGGAACAUAAAUACACAACGCAGACACGGAGGACUAAAAGUCGAUAGAGUUUUAUAUAGCGAUCAAUGGAAAUAGGGGAUUAAUGCAGAGACAUGGGAGGAAUUUGUCUAUAUAUUGAGUCUGAAAUAGGAUACUUUGUUAUUUGGCCACUGGCUCAGUUUUAUUGCAAGGAAUUCUAAUUGGUCAACCGCAGACAGGCUAGGGCUGGGUUAUAAAACUACACGCUGUCCCUUUGUUCUGGGGGGGGGAGAAUCACAGGAGAGAAUCACUGAGGACAGGGAAGGAACUGUUCGAUGGAGAGAAUCACUGAGAACAGGGAAGGAACUGUUUGAUGGAGAGAAUCACUGAGGACAGGGAAGGAACUGUUCGAUGGAGAGAAUCACUGAGGACAGGGAAGGAACUGUUUGAUGGAGAGAAUCACUGAGGACAGGGAAGGAACUGUUCGAUGGAGAGAAUCACUGAGGACAGGGAAGGAACUGUUUGAUGGAGAGAAUCACAGAAGAGAAUCACUGAGAACAGGGAAGGAACGACCAUCUACCUCUCAGCGUAACAUCUAUGAUUUAUCCUCUUUUGAAUAAACCUGUUUUCCUCCCCCUGAUUUGCGUUGGGCUUUGUGUUAUUGAAGAAUAACGUCAAGUGGUAACACUGGUAUUAUGUUUUGGGGAGGGGGCUUUUUCUCUCCAGUUUCUUCUGAGUUUUUUCUGAGCUUCUGACACACACCACAUUAAGUUUCUGUACAGAUGAAUGCACAGUAUUGUUUGGCAAGCUGCUACCAAAAUAGGUACAGUCGGUCCUCGGUCUAAAGUAGUUUUGUAGCAGCUUGCCACUUAUUAAGACAUUUUGCGUUUCCUGUCUUUCACUCUUUUUUUUCUUCUUUUAAUAAUCUCCUUUUAGACGAAUGUGUGUCGGCACUCUUAUCUCACCGCAUGCCACAUUCUAUAGAUGGCUGACUCUCAAACUCUUCCUUGUUA